rnacentral:rRNA from 1 species
CCAGCAGCUGCGGUAAUUCCAGCUCCAAUAGCGUAUAUUUAAGUUGUUGCAGUUAAAAAGCUCGUAGUUGGAUUUCGGGUGGGUUUUAGCGGUCCGCCUAUGGUGAGUACUGCUAUGGCCUUCCUUACUGUCGGGGACCUGCUUCUGGGCUUCACUGUCCGGGACAGGGAUUCGGCAUGGUUACUUUGAGUAAAUUAGAGUGUUCAAAGCAGGCUUACGCCCUGAAUACUUUAGCAUGGAAUAACACGAUAGGACUCUGCCCUAUUCUGUUGGCCUGUAGGAGUGGAGUAAUGAUUAAGAGGAACAGUCGGGGGCAUUCGUAUUUCAUUGUCAGAGGUGAAAUUCUUGGAUUUAUGAAAGACGAACUACUGCGAAAGCAUUUGCCAAGGAUGUUUUCA